AAACAUGGACUAAUACCGCAUAUACUCUUGCUACACAAGUGGCGUAGAGGAAAGGAGCAAUCCGCUUUACGAUGAGCCUGCGGCCUAUUAGCCUGUUGGUGGGGUAACGGCCUACCAAAGCUACGAUAGGUAGCCGACCUGAGAGGGUGACCGGCCACAUUGGGACUGAGAUACGGCCCAGACUCCUACGGGAGGCAGCAGCUGAGAAUCUUCCACAAUGGACGAAAGUCUGAUGGAGCGACAUCGCGUGAGGGAUGAAGGCCUUCGGGUUGUAAACCUCGGAAAUUAUCGAAGAAUGAGUGACAGUAGAUAAUGUAAGCCUCGGCUAACUACGUGCCAGCAGCCGCGGUAAUACGUAGGAGGCAAACGUUGCUCGGAUUUACUGGGCGUAAAGGGUGAGUAGGCGGACUUAUAAGUCUAAGGUGAAAGACCGAAGCUCAACUUCGGGAACGCCUCGGAUACUGUAAGUCUUGGAUAUUGUAGGGGAUGAUGGAAUUCUCGGUGUAGCGGUGGAAUGCGCAGAUAUCGAGAGGAACACCUAUAGCGAAGGCAGUCAUCUGGGCAUUUAUCGACGCUGAAUCACGAAAGCUAGGGUAGCAAACAGGCUUAGAUACCCUGGUAGUCCUAGCCGUAAACGUUGUACACUAGGUGCUUCUAUCUAAAUAGGAGUGCCGUAGCUAACGUCUUAAGUGUACCGCCUGAGGAGUAUGCCCGCAAGGGUGAAACUCAAAGAAAUUGACGGGUCCCCGCACAAGUGGUGGAGCAUGUGGUUUAAUUCGAUGAUACGCGAAAAACCUUACCUGGGUUUGAAUUGUAAGAUGAAUGAUUUAGAGAUAAGUCAGACCGCAAGGACGUUUUACAUAGGUGCUGCAUGCCUGUCGUCAGCUCGUGUCGUGAGAUGUUGGGUUAAGUCCCGCAACGAGCGCAACCCUCACCCUUUGUUGCUACCGAGUAAUGUCGGGCACUCUUAGGGGACUGCCUACGUUCAAGUAGGAGGAAGGUGGGGAUGAUGUCAAGUCCUCAUGGCCCUUAUGUCCAGGGCUACACACGUGCUACAAUGGCAAGUACAAAGAGAUGCGAGACCGCGAGGUGGAGCGAAACUCAAAAAAGUUGCCUCAGUUCGGAUUGGAGUCUGAAACUCGACUCCAUGAAGUUGGAAUCACUAGUAAUCGUAGAUCAGAACGCUACGGUGAAUACGUUCCCGGGGAUUGUACACACCGCCC
rnacentral:rRNA from 1 species